rnacentral:rRNA from 1 species
UACGAAGGGUGCAAACGUUGCUCGGAAUUAUUGGGCGUAAAGCGCACGUAGGCGGCUUUUCAAGUCGGAUGUGAAAUCCCUCGGCUUAACCAAGGAAGUGCAUCCGAAACUGGAAGGCUUGAGUACUUAAGAGGAUCGCGGAAUUCCCGGUGUAGAGGUGAAAUUCGUAGAUAUUGGGAAGAACACCGGUGGCGAAGGCGGCGACCUGGUCCAUUACUGACGCUGAGGCGCGACAGCGUGGGGAGCAAACAGG